rnacentral:misc_RNA from 1 species
AGAUGGUGGUGGGGCUCUCAUUAUUGAUUAUGGUCUAAAUGGAAUAGUCUCAGACAGUCUUCAGGCUAUCCGAAAGCAUGGCUUUGUUAAUAUACUGGAUAAUCCUGGAACUGCUGAUCUUAGUGCUUAUGUUGACUUUGCUGCAAUCAGACAUUCUGCAGAGGAAGCUUCAGAUGAUGUGGCUGUGCAUGGCCCAAUGACUCAGUCUCAGUUUCUUGGGUCACUUGGCAUAAAUUUCAGGGUUGAGGCAUUGAUGGAGAACUGCACAGAUGAACAAGCUGAUUCCUUAAGAACGGGUUAUUGGCGUUUGGUGGGUGAAGGCGAGGCCCCAUUCUGGGAGGGUCCGGAGGGGCAGGCACCUAUUGGGAUGGGGACCAGAUAUUUGGCAAUGACAAUUGUGAACAAGAAGCAAGGAUUACCUAUACCAUUUCAAUGAAACAUCUGCAUAUGGGCUUCCUGUUGUACUGGUAUUCCCUCAUGUUUGGGGGAUUGUGGAAUUGGCUUCAUAACUUUUUCAUCUGACAUGAAUGUGUGUAGCUGGAUGAAAGGCUAGGAAGAGACAGGAUGGUGAUACUGGUUUUGCCCCAGUCUUUUCCUUUUGUUCUGAAGGAGAGAAUAUCUAGUCUUCUCAUACGUCUUCGUUUCUUCAGUUUCUCGUGUCUCAACUGUGGUGCAACAAGAGAAUGUAGAUCCUACAUCAAGUUGUUAAGCUAUAUUGUUCCUGAAAAAUCAGCGGAAGCUAAA